rnacentral:precursor_RNA from 8 species
AAGAAGGGCCUGUCAGUAGUCGUCUAUAUGUACCCUGUAGAACCGAAUUUGUGUCCAAAACAUCAAAAUCGCAAAUACGUCUCUACAGGAAUACAUGGGCGACGUAAAAGCCACGAACGCCAA